GGAAAUAUGAAUUGAAAGAUGUAGAAAACCUAAGAGUCUUUUCUUGAUUAUGUUCACCAAGUAAACAGAUGUCAUAUUUGUCUUUAAAUAGCAGGUGUAUACACAUCCAACGGGAUGUCAGGGAAGACUUGGGCAGUAUGGAGAGGCCAUGCCACCACUGGUUUUCUGUUGCCAGUUUGAAACUCUCAUCCUGAGCUGCCUGACGAUGAGGUCAAGUUGCACCUCACGCAGCAAAGG